UUUGAAUAAAAACAUAGACCUAAGAAAAGUAUAUAGACUUGAAAAAAGUACGUCAACAGCUUAGCAUGUGCUCUUAAAAAAUAAAAAUAAAAAACUUAAUAGACUUUUCUUUUUUAGGUACGGUGCGGCAUGACGCACAGCAUGGCACGUGUGGGCAUGACACGACAUGGGCACAUGCACGAGCAUACAUGGGCCUUGGUUUGGUACCGGCACGACCCAUUGGCCAUCUCUAGACUCCCUACGUUAUGCAUUCGAGUAGACUAUCAAUGCUUGGCAUAAAUAAGAGUGUGGUCAAUAAAUUGUAGAGAAUUGAUGUAUGAACUAAGCCUUGACAAAACAAAUUCAAAGCAACUUCAUUUUGAGUGAAUUUAUUUUUAUUUUUUUAUCUUUUUGAAUUUAACCAAAAAUGACUUCAUUUUCAAGUGUGUUAUUUUAGGAUUUUGUCAGGAUGCAGCUCCCUAAUCGUUUUUGUAAAUUAUAGGACUAAUACAAUGCUUAAGAUAGUGUCAAUUACUGCUCUUGGGAUUUUUGUUUUUCUUGCAAAAACGAUGUUAUUAGGAAAAUGAAGAUGUUCUUAACUUCACAUGUUAGACAAUGACUAUAUUAAUUGCUCUCGAAUUGAAGUUCCGAUUCGAAUUUGAUUAUUUACUGGUUUGGCAGGAGAUUAAUUAAAACCUUUCUAGAUCUAAUCUCAUUUGUCCAUUCUCAUGGAACAGUAUGGCUCUGCCAAAUUGCCUAUUAUGCGUCUCACUUAAAUGAAGUUGUUCAUUCUCGUGAGUGGCAUUAUCGCACUUUCUUUUUCGGAGUCGUCUUUUGACUCUAUUUAACUUAUACAUUUCAAGGUUUUUUAAAAUAUUUUCACCCUAAAAAUUAUUCAAUAAGAUUUUUUUUUUCUUCGGAUGUUUAGAUUCUAUAUGAACAUGAUUUUAGUCUUUGGGGGUGCAAAAAUUGCAAGGAGGGUCAAAAUCACGGUUAAAUUAUAGAUAAGACUGAAAUGAGUUAGAUCAGGGUUAAUUUAGGUGUUAGGGUGCAUUAGUGUUGACUGUUGGUGUUGAACACACGUUGAUUGGCUGAUUCACGCGCCUACUAUGGAACUCGACACAAAGGAUAUAUGAAUGUUGACUUUUCCAAUUAUCGAGACAUUAACAAUCAUUAACUUACCAAAGAUGCACCCGCAAAAGAUCUGGACCCAUGAUUUUCGUGGGUCAACGGACCUGGUUGAAUAUCCACACUUACUUAUGUCCCCUGAACAAAAAAUUUAGAGUACAUUAGAGAUAAUACAAUCAAUGAGUGACUAUAUACUGAUUCUUUAAAAUAAAUGUAUACAUGGAUAUUUUAAAAUUUCUCUCAUCGAACUCAAUCACCACCCAUAUGCGUGUGGAUUAUCAUAUUUGCGUUAUUUGAACAACAUGGACCAUUGGUUAAUCACCAUGUGCCAUGCUAGUUGCUCUUAACUUAUUCCCUUAUCGCCAAAUUUGCUUAUUCCUUAUUGUGUAUGAAUGCCUAAGAUCACGCAACAUCACAUUUGUUGUUAACUUAUUUCUUUAUCGCCAAAUUUGCUUAUUCCUUGUUGAGUAUAAACGCCUAAAAUUGUGCAACAUUCUUGCUUUGGAUAGUCAAGAACGCUUCAAUUUGCAUAUUUAUAGCCACUAAUUGCUCUUCUAAAAGUUUAGUACGAACAUGCUGUUAAACUGUGCAGUUUAAUAUAAUUAGUUUUUAAUGUACUAUAAGACCAUGCAGUUUAAUAAUGUGCCUACACUAACUUUAUUAAAUCAUACAGUUUAAUAACAGAUUUAUAUUUAAAAAAAAUGAGGGCGCCUACACGCGCGCACACACAUACACAUAUGUGUGGGAUAUCCUCACUUUGUUAAAAUGAUGAUACCACUAAUAGACAAAACACAAAGGUUUCAAUAUAUCAAUAGACAAAAAAUACAGUUUUGCUAUAUAUAUAUAUAUAUAUAUAUAUAUAUAUAUAUAUAUUAGUGACAAAGUGAGGAUGUCAUUACUAGAGAAGGAAUUUUUGUCGUUGAAAUGGAAAGGCGAGCCGAUUUUAAAGAAAAGAAAAUAAGAAUGGGGGUUGUGCUUUUAAGUUGAACUUAAAGAAAAACAUUAAGGAUUAGGCAUUUAUGUUUAGGAAAACUAUUGUGAAUGAUAUUAUGAAUUAUAUAUUGUCUAAUUAUUUUCUUUCAACUAAAUGAUUUUUUUUAACGGUUUUAGUUGUGUAUUUUAGGUAACAUUUUGGAGACCAUUAAACUAUAAUAUUUCAUCCUUCAUCUUUAAUUAUGUAAGCUAGUUGCAUGAAAAACAUAAAGGGUUCAACUAGAGCCCAAAUAAAUAUAGUUCUUACGAAGCCUAUGAAGAGAUUGAUAAAAAUUCCUAGAAUAAAUUUCUUAGGUUCCAAGGUUUUUAGAUUGUGAGGUUAUUAGCCUCCAAAAUUCCCAGGACAAGUCAAUGUAAGAUAAACUUUUAGAUUAUGAAGUUUCGAGCCUCUAAAGUUCUUAGAGUUUCCUUAGAUAAACCAUCUACGAUAAACAUCCUAAGUCCAAGGUUUUAAAAUUUUUAGAAUAAACUCCUAAGGUUUCAAAGUUCAUAAGACAAAUAACCUAAGAUAAACUUUCUAGAUUCCAAGAUCUUAUGACAAACCUCUUUAAAGUCUUAAGGUUCUUAAGAUCCUAAGAUCAUAGGACAAACUACCUAGAAUAAACCUCUUAGAUUCCAAGAACAAAUUAUCUAGGAUAAAUCUCUUAGGUUUCAAGGUUCCUAUGAUCUUAAGAUUCUAGGAAAAAUAACCUAAGAUAAAAACACAUCAUCUUCUGAUCCAAAGACAAGGUUGCAUAUCCGAAUAUAACUCGGCAUGGGUAUAAGAAGACAAGUGUCGCUAGGUGUCAUAAGAACAACAACACUUGUCAUCAAAAUAAUUAGGACUCAAGUCAAAUUAAUUUUGCCUAUAGAUAAGCCCUUUAUUCUCGCUUAAAGAUAGGUAAAAACUUAAGAAGAGAAAAAAUGCUUACUUUCUCUUAUUAAGUACCUCAAACUAAAUUCAUAUUUUGAAAUUCUGAGUGAUUAACUUGACCAUGGGAGAGCUUACACCGGCAAAGUUGGCCAUCUGGUCUUUUUCUUGUGUUUGUAGAAUAUCAUCUAACAAACUCCUUUUUAUAACCUAAGAAAAUGGACUCCUAGAAGAAAUUCAGAGGCGGGUUAAGACUAACCUAAAGAAGUAAUUUAUCAUUAUUUAUUCCAACAAAGAGAAAGCACAAUCCUAAAAGAGUCAUCUUUUGUUGAAACUACCACCUAGUAAGCUGGGAUAAAAUUUAAACCAACAGACUGACAUCGUUUGUAGGGACUUUUAACUAAAAGUCUUGGAACUGCUACCAUGAGCAUAGAUGCAAAUCGUGAGAUUAUGACUUUGUCGUUGAUCAUAAAAGUUCUAGAGUUAAUAAGGAAGUUAUUUUUCGGUGAAUAGAUGAUAAUGAGAUUUGGAGGAUGAUGAUACGAUGCCUUCUCAUUUUUUUUUAAAUCCUUAAUCAAAUUCAUGUCGCUAUGACAAACAUCGAGGACAACCUCUUGUUGUUUGAUUUAGGCAACAAGUUGAUUAGGUCACUCAUAACUUUACUAGAAUGUUCAUCCAAUUCCAAGCCUAAACUGAAAAAUGGAUGAACUCAAGUGGUGACAAUGUGGUUGAUUCUAACUCCUUAAGAACGAGGUUUAGAAAAGAAUUAAAGUAAGGCUUCUCAGGCAUUCGCAAGACCAAUGAAGAUCUAAGAAGAAUGGCUAGAGAAUAUAUAAACCAAGGAGAAGAAUUCGAUAGAUAAUUACAAGAGAUGAUACAGAGACUUGAGUAAAUGAUCCAAUAAAUAAAACCACUUGAUGAUAUAAUAGCAGAACCUGAGCCACCAUUUACUCUUGAUAUAAUAAUAACAAAAUGUCCACCUAAGUUUCGUUUACCCUAGAUAAAGUCCUGUAACAGACUGGGGGAUCAUAUUGAUUACCUAGAAUCAUCUCACACCUUUAUAAAAGUACAAGGAGCAUCACGAGUAAUUCUUAGUCAAGUUUUUCCUCUUACCUUGGUAGGAACAACAUGAAGACAAUUUCAAAGGAUGAGGCCACGCUCUAUCUUAUCCUUUAGGGAUUUGAAUAGAGAAUUUACCUCUUACUUCUAAAAUGCUCGACAAAGAUGAAAAUUGAUGACUUAUUUCUUAAUCGUCAAACAAUAAGAAAAUAAGUCAUUGAGAGAUUACAUUAGAAGGUACAAUAAGAAGAAAGGGUUGGUCGACCUAUUUAAUUACUAAGAAGAGAUAAAUUUUGACCUAAACAGUGCUCUAGAGUUUGGUACACUUGUCCUUAUUUAGCUUCUUCAUUUUCAUUUUGCUUUUAAUUAGAAAAUGAUUAAGUUUCCAAGUAUUGUUUUGAUGGCUAGAUUCACAUAAAGAAGAAUGUUAUCUGAGUGAGGAUAAGAAGAAAAAUAUCAAAAACCUACACAUUUAGGACAUCUAUUAUGGAUAAAAUUGACUUUUAAAUUUAGUCAUGAUAUAAUCAAAUAGUUUUAAGAAAAAAAAUCAAAAACCUACAUAUUUAGGACAUUUAUUAUGGAUAAAAUUGACUCUUAAAUUUAGUCAUGGUAUGAUCAGAUAGUUUUAAAUGAUGCCAAAGAGACCACAUUCUAAUGAUACAACACCAAGCUGUAGUAAUUUCUGGUAUUAUCAGGGGACUUAAGAUGAGAAAACUAUGGUUAUUGUUUUUAAAAAAAACACUUACUUCUUAUUCUAAGAUGCUUUUAAGAGCUGAGAAGUAUGCUCACUAAAUAAAGAAUUUAGAUUAAAAAUCAAGAGAAAGUAUAGCCAAGUAAAGAAAAGCAAAAGAAAAAUGAUCGGUGAGAAGGAAUGACUAGUAGACCUGAUCAAUUUCUAAGGAGAUAUAAAUUUUGACUUAAAGAACAUUCUAAAGUUUGGGACACUCAUUCUUGUUCAAUUUCUCAAUUUCCAAUUGCCUCUAAUUAGAAAAUGAUAAGAUUUCCAAGUCCUGUCUAGAUAGUUAGGUUCACCAUAAAGAAAAACAUUGUCCGAAUUAGGAUAAGACGAAAAACACCAAAAACCUACACCGUUAAGACAUCUAUGUAGAUGAAAAUGACUCUUAAAUUCAACUAUAAUAGGAUUAGAUAAUUCUAAGCAACGCCAAAAAUCCACAUUCUAAUGAUACAAAAAUCCACAUUUAGGAGCUUGCUGACUAGAGUUAGUCCUAAGGCAUGAAAUAUUCUCUGAAUAUAAGUGUGAAAUGGAAGUUGUACCCCAGAAUUUAACAUACACCUAGUAAUCCUAAAUAAGCAAUUAGGAGGAUUGAUAAUGUUGUUUUUAAGUGAAACAUGACGAAGUGUGAUUGACCUAGGAAUGCUUGAUCAUUAGAAACUCAAGGAAUAUUUCAACUUAAUUGUCUUCAACUAUAAUGGAUAGAUAUCUUUAACAACAAGCUCAUCUUUAUCCUUAGAAUUUCCUAAGUUAAUAACCCCACUUAUUCCUAUUACUUUAUCUGCAUAUGUGCUACUAUCCUCAUAUAUUUCUUCUUUUAACUCACAACUACCAACAUCACUUGUAAUAGCAUCAAUACUUGUGGAGCAAUAUCCAUCACUAUAUUUUUAUCCUUGGCCAUUUCAAUACUAGGUCUUUUUGAAAUAAGAUGAACCUACAGAGUUACAAUAACCUAUUGUUAUUCUCCUAAAUGUGUAAAAUUUAAUUAAAUUAAUUAAUUAAAAACUCAUUAAAAGUCACCCAAAAAUAACUAAAAAUUCACUAAAAAUCACUAGAGAUAUGCCAUAAAGUCACCUGAAAAUCAUCAUUGACUGCCGUGAAUGUUGCAAUCAAUCAUCAUGAAUCACCGACCUCUCUCAUUGGAAACUUGAGAGCUUUUCUCUUUAAAAUAUAUGCUCUCACUCUUAGAAAAUCUUAAGUGAGAAAGAAAGAUGGAAAAUAAGGCAUUAUAAAGGGGACCAAAAGGAUCUUAGCUAAUUAAAAAGAAUUUGUAAUUAAGGCAAUUAUUGAUGGGAAAUCUCAAUUAAUAAAGACCAGUAAUCUAAGACAAUCAAAGAAUAUAAAUAUUGAUUUUCAAAGCAAAUAAUGAUGGAAUAAUUAUGGAUUGAAAGUUUUAUU
rnacentral:lncRNA from 1 species